GAGGUGGGAGUUGAAGACCGUCUUAACAGGUUCUUCUGCCAGGCGUUCCCAGCAGACCCUCACUAUGCGUUUGGGUCUGCCAGGUCUACGCGGCAUGUUCCCUUGCCAUCUGAUCCAACUCACCACCAGGUGGUGAUCAGUUGACAGCUCCGCCCCUCUCUUCACUCGGGUGUCCAAAACAUACGGCCGCAGGUCAGAUGAUACGACUACAAAAUCUAUCAUCGACCUGUGACCUAGGCUGCCCUGGUACCAAGUGUACCGGUGGGCAUCCUUAUGUUCGAACAUGGUGUUCGUUAUGGCCAAACUGCGGCUUGCACAGAAGUCCAAUAACAAAACACCGCUCGAGUUCAGAUUAGGUGGGCCGUUCCUCCCAAUCACACCCCUCCAGGUCAAGCUGUCAUUGCCCACGUGAGCAUUGAAGUCCCCCAGCAGGACAAUGGAGUCCCCUGAUGGAGCACUAUCUAGCACUCGUCCCAGGGACUCCAAAAAGGGUGGGUACUCUGAACUGAUAUUUGGCCCAUAAGCACAAACAACAGUCAGGACCCGUUCCCCGACCCGAAGGCGCAAGGAAGCUACCCUCUUGUCCCCCGGGGUAAACCCCAACACACAGGCAGAGAGUCUCGGGGCUAACAAAAAGCCAACCCCAGCCCUCCGCCUCUCACCCGGAGCAACUCCAGCAAAGUAGAGUGUCCAACCCCUCUCCAGGUCUCGGGUUCCAGAGCCAAUGCAAUGUGUCGAGGUGAGUCCGACUAUAUCUAGCCGGUACCGCUCAACCUCUGCCACAAGCUCCGGCUCCUUCCCCGCCAGCGAGGUGACGUUCCAUGUCCCAAAAACUAGUUUUCUUGUCCGGGGAUUGGACCGCCAAGGCUCCCGCCUUGGUCUGCCACCCGAUUCGCAUUGCACCGGACCCUUCAUGUUCCUCCUGCGGGUGGUGGGUCCACAGUUGGACGAGCCCAUGUAUCCGGUUCGGGCUGGGCCCGGCCGGGCCCCAUGGGCGAAAGCCCGGCCACCAGGCGCUCGCUCACGGGCCCCAACCCCAGGCCUGGCUCCAGGGUGGGACCCCGGUAACCCUCCGGGCCGGGUACUCCGACUCUUCGUUUUAACCGCCAUGAAAGAUCCUUCGAACCGUUCUUUGUCUCACCCUUCACCUAAGACCAAUUUGUCAUGGGAGACCCUACCAGGGGCACUAAGUGCCCCAGAUAACAUAGCUCCUAGGAUCAUUAGGGCACUCAAACUCCUCCACCACGAUAAGGUGACGUCCAUCGUUGCUUGGUUUUUUUUUUCUGCAUAAGAAACACAAAUAGACUGAAAUAAGUACACAUAUAAAAUAAAGCAGCACACACACUACAACACUAAAUCAAUAUUAUAUUAUUUGAAUUAAUUAACAAUAUACAGUGAUCAUUUAUUUUGAGGGUUACGUUCUACAAAAUAGCCCGCAACAGGAGAUAUUCAGAAAAAAAGUAAAACAUUUUUACUAUUAAAAAGCUCUAAGUAAGAAGCUCAUGAGGUUUUUACUUUGAGUCGGGAGUGUUUAAAUUAGCUAGAGAAAUGUGAAAAAUGUUUAUUUUGUGUAAUACUGUUUAAGAAACAUGAUAAAAAUGUGUUGUGAGGCGUUUUACAGCGUUAGAUAGUAAAACAGCCUUUUAAUAGUAAAAAAAUGACUUUUUCUGAAUUUCUCCUGUAUUUAAAAAUUGAAAGUGUACAACUAUGC
rnacentral:lncRNA from 1 species